CUAAUAUAAUAUUUUUUAAUAAGACAAAAGUAAACAAGCAAGAUCCAUAGAUAUAUUAUUACAUUGAUCUCUUAAUGCAUAUUCUUGCAUUAACAGCUGCCAUAAACACUAAAGCAUCUAAAUGACAACACUUUAAACAACCACUAGCCAGUUAAGUAGCCCCUGCUUAUUACUGGAAAUUGCACAACUUCUUUUAACUAAUUAAACAAAUUCAUAUGUUUAACAGGGUAACACACAAGUGGAUGAGCCAUUUCAGCCGCAAAUCCAGAUCCUGGGCUCAAAUCAACCUUGUCACCUUCCUCAACUUUCCAAUCAAAGCACUGAACCAAUGCUCCUACUGCUGCAUGCAUCACCAACAUAGCGAUUGAAGCUCCAGGGCAUCCUCUUCUUCCACUCCCAAAUGGAAGGUAACGAAAGUUCUGUCCCUUAAAUUCCAUUUGAUGCUCUCCAAUCUUCUCCUUAGAGCUUUCCAUGAAUCUUUCGGGCAUGAACUCAUCUGGGUUUGUCCACGACUCUGGAUCCCUCAUGACUGCAUAUACAUUUACAAGAACUCUAGUUUUGGCCUUGACCAUGGAACCAUUUACCUUGCAGUCUUCUGCACAUUCUCUGAUGAUUAAGGGUGCUGAUGGGUGAAGUCUUAGGGUUUCCCUGAUGACUGCCCGAAGGUAGGGGAGAUUUUGGACGUCGGAUUCUUUGAUUAGCCUGUUGUUCCCUACAACUGUAUUGAUUUCAUCUCUAAGCUUGUUGAAUGCUCUUGGACAGUUGAUGAGCUCUCCCAUGGCCCAUUGCAUGGCUGCUGAUGUUGUGUCUGUGCCGGCAAAGAAUAUAUCAAGCAAGAAAGACUUGAUGUCAUUUUUGGAUAAUCUAAUUUCAGCAGCAGGAUCAUUAUAUAUCUCCAACAAAAUGUCCAUCAAAUCUUUCCUUUCCCCAACAGCACCUUUGACGGCCUUCUCUUCAUGUUCCGUAAUUAUCCUCUCCACCAAUCGAUCAUACUUCUUCAAAGCCCCAACCAGCUUCUUCCCAGUCGAAGAGAAAUCAAAAAUCUUGAGAGGACCUAAAAUAUCUCCGACACUAAGCUUCCCUGCAAGCGCUAAACAAGUCUUGAUCAACUGCUUAAUCUCCUCCGCAUCAUUAUCGCUUCCUGAGCACCUUGUGCUCAUAGCCAUCCUACAAAUAGUAUUAUUUGUGUAAAUAGUGAAUUCACUACUCAAAUCGCAGAGUUUUCCUUCUUUAGCACAACUCAUCACCGAUUCCACGAGCUUCACCUUUUCUUGGUCACGUAUAUCAGUGAACUUAUCGAGUUGAGGAACAGCUAGAAGCCUUGUCAUGCAAAGCUUCUUCAUGAACCUCCAGUAGUCACCAUAUUGAGCAGUGACAAAUCUUGAUCCCCUGUAGAUGAAAUAUUCAGAGGAGCCAAAUUCAGGUCGAGAAGAGAAAUUGAGUUCUUGGGUCUUGAAGAUUUCUUUGGCCACAGCAGCAUUGGAGGCAAUAACACAUGUUGCUGCGCCUAGACGGAUCUGCAUCAGUGGACCAUAGUGGCGAGCUAGGUCUUGGAAAGACUUGGGUAGGACGGAGCCGAUGAGAUGGAGGUGGCCGAUAAGAGGUAGAGCUGGAGGGCUGGGCGGCAGGUGGACUUGGCAAGCAGGUUUCAAGAAUGUUUUGAUGAAGUAGUGGACUAGAAAGGCAGUGAAGAACCACACAAAGAAGAGAAGGUAAUAGAACAUGUCGGCAAGGGCAAAUGGUGAA
rnacentral:misc_RNA from 1 species